CCUGGCUCAGGACGAACGCUGGCGGCAUGCUUAACACAUGCAAGUCUACUUGAAUAUCGAAGCUUGCUUUGAUAGGAUGGUGGCGAACGGGUGAGUAACGCGUAGAUGAUCUGCCCUUCAGGCAGGGAUAAUCUCUGGAAACGGAGACUAAUACCGGAUAGUAUCCUUUGGUGGCAUCACUAAUGGAUUAAAGAUCUAGAAUCGCUGAAGGAUGAAUCUGCGUGUCAUUAGCUAGUUGGUAGGGUAAAAGCCUACCAAGGCAACGAUGACUAGCUGGUCUGAGAGGAUGAUCAGCCACACUGGGACUGAGAUACGGCCCAGACUCCUACGGGAGGCAGCAGUGAGGAAUAUUGCACAAUGGGGGCAACCCUGAUGCAGCAAUGCCGCGUGAGUGAAGAAUCAGUUAAUCUGUGUAAAGCUCUGUUGAUUGGGACGAAACGUAAGGUUAGCAGCCUUAUUUGACGGUACCAAUCGAGGAAGCUCCGGCUAACUCCGUGCCAGCAGACGCGGUAAUACGGGGGGAGCGAGCGUUGUCCGGAUUCAUUGGGCGUAAAGGGCAUGUAGGUGGGUCUUUAAGUCAGUUGUUAAAUCUUACGGCUUAACCGUGAAUGGCAAUUGAUACUGAAGAUCUUGAGUGCGAGAGGGGACGGUAGAAUAUCUAGUGUAGCGGUGGAAUGCGUAGAUAUUAGAUAGAAUACCUGAGGCGAAGGCGACCGUCUGGCUCGUAACUGACACUGAAAUGCGAAAGCAUGGGUAGCGAACGGGAUUAGAUACCCCGGUAGUCCUAGCCGUAAACGAUGAGCACUGGGUUGAGGGAACUAUCACAUUCUCUCGGCCGUAGCGAAAGCGUUAAGUGCUCCGCCUGGGGAGUAUGGUCGCAAGGCUGAAACUCAAAGGAAUUGACGGGGGCUCACACAAGCGGUGGAGGAUGUGGCUUAAUUCGAGGCUACGCGAAGAACCUUAUCCUAGAUUUGACAUGCUUGAGAGUCUCUAUGAAAGUAGAGAGUGCCCUUCGGGGAGCUCUUGCACAGGUGCUGCAUGGCUGUCGUCAGCUCGUGUCGUGAGAUGUCGGGUUAAGUCCCUUAACGAGCGAAACCCUUAUCUCUAGUUGCCAGCGGGUAAUGCCGGGGACUCUAGAGAGACUGCCGGUGUCAAACCGGAGGAAGGUGGGGAUGACGUCGAGUCCUCAUGGCCUUUAUGUCUAGGGCUGCACACGUCCUACAAUGGUACGGACAAACGGACGCAAUACCGCGAGGUGGAGCAAAUCCUAAAAACCGUGCCUCAGUUCGGAUUGCAGGCUGCAACUCGCCUGCAUGAAGCCGGAAUCGCUAGUAAUCGCAGGUCAGCAUACUGCGGUGAAUGUGUUCCCGAGCCUUGUACACACCGCCCGUCAAGCCACGAAAGUUGGGAGGGCCCGAAGUCGCUGAGCUAACUCGCAAGAGAGGCAGGCGCCGAAGGUCAGCUCGACAAUUGGGACUAAGUCGUAACAAGGUA
rnacentral:rRNA from 1 species